AGGCAGCAGUGGGGAAUCUUGCACAAUGGGCGCAAGCCUGAUGCAGCAACGCCGCGUGCGGGAAGAAGGCCUUAGGGUUGUAAACCGCUUUCAGUAGGGAAGAAAAUGACGGUACCUACAGAAGAAGGUGCGGCCAACUACGUGCCAGCAGCCGCGGUAACACGUAGGCACCAAGCGUUAUCCGGAUUUAUUGGGCGUAAAGAGCUCGUAGGCGGUUCAGUCAGUCGGGUGUGAAAACUUGAGGCUUAACCUCAAGAGGUCACUCGAUACUACUGUGACUAGAGUGCGGUAGGGGAGCGGGGAAUUCCUGGUGUAGCGGUGAAAUGCGCAGAUAUCAGGAGGAACACCAGUGGCGAAGGCGCCGCUCUGGGCCGUAACUGACGCUGAGGAGCGAAAGCAUGGGUAGCAAACAGGAUUAGAUACCCUGGUAGUCCAUGCCGUAAACGUUGGGCACUAGGUGUGGGUCUCAACCAACGAGAUCCGCGCCGUCGCUAACGCAUUAAGUGCCCCGCCUGGGGAGUACGGUCGCAAGACUAAAACUCAAAGGAAUUGACGG
rnacentral:rRNA from 1 species